rnacentral:sRNA from 1 species
AGAUCCUGGACGAGUCUGAAGACUACCGAGACACCGUGGUGAAGAGGAAGCCUGCUUCUCUGAUGGCCCCUCUGAAGCGGAAGGAGGAGUUCUCCUUGUUCAAGGUGUCUGAUGAUGAAUAUAAAGUAAAAAUCUCGCCUCAGCUGCUCUUGGCCACCCAGCGCUUCCUGUCCCGAGAAGUGGAUGUAUUCAGCCCGCUGCGCAUCUCUGAGAAGGUCCUGCUGCACCUGUUGAAGCAUCCCAGUGUCAACCAGGAAGUGAGGUUUGACGAGAGCAACCGGCUGGCCACACACCACUACCUGUACCAGCGCAGCCAGCCGGUGGAUUACUUCAUUCUCAUCCUGCAGGUAGCUGUGGGUCCCAGGCCUGGAGUCCCUCCUGCUUCCUCAGGCCAGGGAAGGGUCUAGGAGAAGAGGGGAGCAGGGGCAUGCGGAUAUGCACCCUCCCGCCCCAAACAAUUGAGGUGGUGGGUUUCUCCUUCCGCUGUCUUCUGACGGGAAAGGUAAUCUGGCUGCAUCUGUUUCUCUCCUUGCCACUCCUCCCAGGGCAGGGUUGAAGUGGAGAUCGGGAAAGAGGGUCUGAAGUUCGAGAAUGGGGCCUUCACGUACUAUGGAGUGUCGGCCCUAACUGUGCCAUCCUCGGGUAAGCCACGGCCCUGCUGGUGCUGAGGGCCAGGGUGGAGGCUGCAGAGCCUGUCCCCCAUCAUCGCUUGGGCUCUCAGUGCCCCUCCUCACCUCUCCUUCCACUUGAGCCCACCACCCCACAAGGUGGUGUAGCCCCUGGGCUUCCAGGAGGGAGGGCAGCAUUCUUCAUCGCUCAACUUUGUGGCCCACUCCACCCCCGCAAAACCUCUCCCGGCUGUGUUUGUCCUUCUCUCCCAGCUUCCCAUGCACAUCGCCUCUCCAGAGUGAUUGGUGGGGUGGGUCUUCGAAACUGUACAGUUGUCCCCACCAGGGGAGGAGGCUCCCAGCUGCCAGCAUGGCUCCUGCCAUCACUGAUUGUUCCUUUGAUAGUUCACCAGUCCCCAGUGUCCUCGCUCCAGCCCAUCCGCCAUGACCUGCAGCCCGACCCAGGUGACGGCACGCAUUCAUCUGCGUAUUGUCCCGACUACACCGUGAGGGCGCUCUCUGAUCUGCAGCUCAUCAAGGUGACUGCCUGGGCUGCUUGUGGGUGCUGGCUUUAGCCGACUUUGUGUCACCGGGGGCUAGACCAGCUGGUCUAAGACUGCCUGGAACAAGGCCUUCCACUCAUCCUGAGGGACACAGACCUUUGCACCCAGUUUCCAAGCAAGGUCUUAAAAACACUUGACUCAGUUGCUCUUCUCUGCCCUUAACUAGCUUAAAGUUGUGCCUCUGUCCUCUUCGGGCACGGUGUCACCUUUCCUGCCUACCUUCUGCGUCUCGCUUCACCAAUUGGGUCUUCAGUAACGCUGUCAUCCUCCAGGUUACGCGACUGCAGUACCUCAAUGCACUCCUGGCUACCCGAGCCCAGAACCUGCCACAGUCCCCUGAGAACACCGACCUGCAGGUUAUUCCAGGCAGCCAGACCAGGCUCCUUGGUGAGAAGACCACCACAGCGGCAGGGUCCAGCCACAGCAGGCCCGGCGUCCCGGUGGAAGGCAGCCCUGGGCGGAACCCAGGCGUUUAAUGGCUCACUAGGCAGCCCCAGAUCUGGGGAACAGAUGAGCACGUGGGGAGCUGGAGUGAGCUGAGCAGAAGUUUUGUGCCCGCCUGCCCCCAUCCCCUCCAGGCCACGUUUUAGAUGGCCCUUGUAGAUGCGGGUCCUGGGUGUCCUCAGAACUACACAUCAAUGCCUGAAUCCUUCAGCCGGCCCUGCCCUCCUUUAGGAGACAGGAGUCACCAGGGCACAGCCCUCCAGGCCCGCCUCAGGAAGGAACGAAAGGAAUGCCAUCAUCUCUAGUCCCCAGGGCCCAGCCUUCCCCUUCUCCCCCAAGGCAGGGACAGUGCAGCAUAUUCAGAUUCAGACCUCUUUGGGCCGAGCCACCUUGUGAGUGCAGUUACUGCCUUUGUGUGGCCGUGACCUCUAUUUGUUUGCUUUUAAUUUGCCAACCUAUCGCUGCUGGCAGCACUUUUUGAGCAAGCCGAGAGCACCCAUUUUGGCUGGGGGUUCAGAUCGAUGGCCUUGUCCAUGUUGUCCUUUCUGGCUUCCCUGACGGUGUCAUGUUUCAGCGCAUGCGCCCCAGCCUUUCCCAUGUGCCAAACCAGAAGCUCCACUGCCCGUAGGCUGUCCCUGUAGCCCUGCUCCCUCCCUGGAGGCUGCUCUUCUGAUUCUGAGAGCUGGCCUAGUGGUGCUGAGGGCCCCUUUCUGCUUCUCUGCCCACCUGCUGAGUUGCCACUCGCAGUGUUGUCAGUUCCCGUGUUCUGAGAAGAGGUCAUGCCUGGGAGGAAGGGAUCGUCAUGCUGCAUCGAAUCCUCUCUCCGCCGUGUGGCCCCCAGGAGAGUAGCUGCCUGUUGCACCUGCUCCACACCUCCCCACAGCCUCCCUGCAGGUGCUGUGUGGCCGUGAUGUGCAGAGAGCAGUGAGGGAGGGUUCAUGAACCAGGUGGAUCCUCUUUAAAAAAAAAAAAUCCGUUUUUGUUAUAUCUCUAGAA